CUAUGGGAUGCUCCAGUGGGGAAUAUUGCACAAUGGAGGAAACUCUGAUGCAGCAAUGCCGCGUGGAGGAUGACACUUUUCGGAGCGUAAACUCCUUUUAUAUAGGAAGAAGAUGACGGUACUAUAUGAAUAAGCGCCGGCUAACUCCGUGCCAGCAGCCGCGGUAAUACGGAGGGCGCAAGCGUUACUCGGAAUUACUGGGCGUAAAGAGCGUGUAGGCGGAUUAAAAAGUCAGAAGUGAAAUCCUAUAGCUUAACUAUAGAACUGCUUCUGAAACUCUUAAUCUAGAAUAUGGGAGAGGUAGAUGGAAUUUCUGGUGUAGGGGUAAAAUCCGUAGAGAUCAGAAGGAAUACCGAUUGCGAAGGCGAUCUACUAGAACAUUAUUGACGCUGAGACGCGAAAGCGUGGGGAGCAAACAGGAUUAGAUACCCGCGUAGUC
rnacentral:rRNA from 1 species